rnacentral:lncRNA from 1 species
CUUGGCUUUCAGCAGCAGCUUCCCCUGGCCCCUGCUGUGGUAAAGCUGCAUCUCAUUAGUGUUUGCUGCCGCAAGGGCGUAUACUCUCUAAGAUAAGUGCAGCCGCUUUUGUGACCUCUCUCUACCGAUACUACCACCUUGCCUGACCCACCCCUGCGCCUCGCCGAGUAACUGAACGCCUGUGUCUCCUGCUGGUCAAAGAUAGUUACUGCAUCUGGAAUAGAAAUCAGAAAUCAAAUUUUCCUGGCUGGCUUUUAUAUCCUGCAUCCAAUUUGCCAGACUGUUGUGCUGUGUCUCAACCCUCUGGUUAGAGAUACCAAAUGAACUAUAAAACUGAUUGCUCACACAGCAUAUAGGUGGCCGGUUGUGAUGGCAGUGCGUGGGCCAGCAUGGGGGCGUCUGAGGCAGCACCAGCUGGAACCGGCUGAACCGGGCGUGGGUGGCGGUCAGGGAUCCCUUCGAAGAGUGCGGGCUGCCGGGGGUGGCUGCAGGCUGCGGUGGAGCAGCCCGGGAGCAAGUCACAGCGUUGAGCAUGCGGGAACUGGAGGUAAAAUCCAUCUCAAGACCAUCUGAAAACUACCGAAGCGCUUUCCGAAGUGAGUUAGGGCGGACAG